rnacentral:rRNA from 1 species
ACUUAAGUUAUAAGUUGUUUUUAAAUAGAAUAUAACUCAAUAAAAUCCUUAUAUACUAAAAACAUUUAAAUAACUAGUAAAGGAGAAAGAAAAUUAUUUUUUAAAAAACAAGUACUGAGAAGGAAAAAAGAAAUUAGAAUAUAUAAGGAAUAAAACUCUGUACCUUUUGCAUCAUGGUUUAGCUAGAUUUCUUUUUAUAUAAAAUCUCUCGAAACCUAAUGAGCUAUUUUUAGCCAACAUUAUUAGAUGUAUAUGAAGUAAUUGUGGCAAAAAUUUUUUUAGAGCUAAAAAUAGAAAUGAUAUUUUAUCCGUAUUAGGUGAUAGCUAGUUUUCCUCUAAAAGUAUAUAAGUACUGCGGUCUUGUUAAUACUAUAUCUUUAUAUUUCUAUAGUAUUGAGAGUUCAGUCAGGUCUUUGAGGAUAAGCUCAAAGAUAUGAAUUAUUUCUGUAUUCCCAUAUACUUUGGUUAAAUUUAGGCUUGAAAAUGGCCAUGAUACAUGAUUUUGUUAUAAUUUCAUUGCUUUGUAAACUAUAUAGGAUGAAUUUGCUUUUAAAAAGAGGAAGAAUCUUUAAAAUCUAAUUCAAAGUUAAGCGUAUGCUAGAAUGAGUAUUAAUUAUAGUUUUUUUUAUUAUAUUAAAAAAAUAAACUAAAAAGAAUAUUUAAUUUAUAAAUUGUUAAAAGGAACUCGGCAAAGCUUAUUCCGCCUGUUUAUCAAAAACAUGGCUCCUCGCCUAUCCUUAUUAGGAGUCGGACCUGCUCGGUGAAUUGUUUUAACAGCCGCGGUACUCUGACCGUGCAAAGGUAGCAUAAUCAUUUGCCUUAUAAUUGAAGGCUAGUAUGAAUGGUUUGACGAGAAUUAAGCUGUCUCUUUGCAACUAAAUAUAAUUUUAUCAAUAGGUGAAGAAGCCUAUAUUAAAUUGAAAGACAAGAAGACCCUAUCGAGCUUUAAAUAAUUCAAUGGAUUAAUAACAUAUUUAUAAAAAAAUUAAGCUACUGAAAAUUUUAGUUGGGGCGACUGAGGAACAAAUAAAGCUUCCUUUAUAAAUAAAACUACUGACAGGUAUUGAUCCAAUAAAUUUGAUUAAAGGAAUUAGUUACCGUAGGGAUAACAGCAUAAUCCUUCUUGAGAGUUCUUAUUGAAAGAGGGGUUUGUGACCUCGAUGUUGGACCAGAAUACCCAGAAGAUGCAGCCGUCUUCAAUGGUUGGUCUGUUCGACCAUUAAAAUUCUACGUGAUCUGAGUUCAGACCGGCGUAAGCCAGGUCAGUUUCUAUCUUCAAUUAUUAAAAUAACUUUAGUACGAAAGGACCAAGUUACUACAAUAUCUUUGUUACUAAUAGACUAAAUAUAAAGACUUAUUGAAUUUUUAGUAGAAUCAAAUUAGCAAAGAUUAAUGCAAU